AAAAUGUCAAAAACAUGCCACUAAGUUAUUAGGUUAAUGAAAAGAGCAUUAUUAUUAAGAAUUAGUGGUCCCUAAUAUUAUUAUUAAAUUAUUAGAUGAUAGUUUAUAAAUGGUUUAUCUUUUUUUAUAAUAAUUAAUUAUUAAAUUAGAAAAUGUAAUAUCACUUUUAAAUUCACUAACGAUAUAAGGCACAUUCUAACUGCCCUUAGCAUUAAUAUAUAUAAUGAAUGAAUGAUAUGAGCUUGUGUUGAAAGCUUUAAGCAAGUAUCCAUUAAAAAGUUUCCAUAGCAUAUAUGCUUAAUCAUAGAGUCAUAUAUUUAUAAUCUAUUUGAUUUUCUUAAUUAAGGUAUUAUAAGAUUUGUUAAGAAACAAACAAAUAGUAGUGUUUAUAUAAAUAAAUAUAAUAAUAUUUGUUUGUAUUUUUACAGCUCAUCAAUUCAUCACUUAGGAUAUUUGGAUUUUACUUUAAAAAAGUUAGAGCCAGAAUGCUUGGAGAGAAAGGUUACUCAUUUAUAUACAUAUAUAUAUAUAUAUAUAUAUUUAUACAUAUAAAAAGGAUAGAAUAAUUAGUUAUCUAGAUAUAAACACUACUAUUUGUUUGUAAGGAUGCUAAUAUGCAUAAUUAUGUUGAUAUGUGAAAGACUGGUCCUCUGUUGAUGUAGAUAGUCAUAUAAAAUGCUUACUAAAGUUUUCCUUAUAAUAAUUUGGGCCAAAGGAGAGAGCUUUAUAUUUAUUUAUUACCAAGUUUAUUUCAUAUGAUAAGUCCCUAUAUAAUGUGUAGAGCUUCUUCUGAGAUCUGAGGUGUAGCUAGGAAGAAGUAGAAUGUGUUUCUAUCGAUGGAAAAAAAUACCAUCAAUUAAGGCUCCUAACCACCCUCAAAGGCUUCCAAUAUUCCAUGCAUAAUAUAUAUAUGUCGAUUAUAUAAUUACUACGUGUAUAUUAAAUAAUAGCGUGGGCUAUUGGAAGUUCUUUGAGGAAGGUUAUAAGUCUUAACCAUUAUUAUUAUUAUGUUCAUAUACUACUCGUAUUUCAUGAAUCAUGAUUUAAAGAAACAACAAUAUCUGCACACACAACACAUUUGUAUAUACUCACACCAUGUGGAUAUAUAUAUAUCUUAUAAUUUUUGAUGGGUUUAUUUGGUCAUCACGACUACUUCUAAGCUAUAUGUCAGUAACACAUGCAUUAUAUAAUAAUUUGGUUCAGAUCAUAUUUUUUUACUAUGAUAAAAUUAAACCUCGAGCUUGUUUUAGAUAUGUCAUGCAUGGCGUCAAAUUUGGUUUAUUUAUUUACAUGGUAGUGACGAUCCGCGACCGUUAACCAUCAUAUAUGUUUGAAAUAUCUCAUAUAAUUAGUUAAGGUUGCGUAUCAUAUAUGGGUAUUUAUCGAAUCGAUAUUUCCAGGGGAGCGCCUUCUCAAGCAGCGAACAGGUGGUCUUCCUCAGGCGACGCGGCUUCUUCUUCCUCGUGGCUGUUUUGGAGUUCUGUCGGAAAAGUAGGUCAAUGAAGGUUUGUAAGCCAUCGAUGGAAGUGCUCAGAUCCGGCAGAUAUAUCCAGGGGGGCCACGACCACCCAAUGGUAUAAUGUGGCUCCGCCCCUGGAGCCUGUGAGCAUGAAGUUGUAGUUCAGUUCGUCUUCUGCAGUUGGUAGGGCUCUGUGCACGGCUUAGUGGGUCAACGAUCCCACUGUUGGUUACAGCCGAUUCUCGAUGGAUGUCGGCUUCCAGUUUUGGGGCUUUGCUUGAGUUAAUUAGGUGGCUGUUGCGGUGCAACGAGAUCUCCCUUUUUGUAUUUUUUUUUUUAUUGUUGUGUUUAUAGUUUAACUUUGUGUAAUAAUCUGAAAUCAGUUGUAAUCUUUAGCUCAUAACGGAGAUGAAUUUUUUAGUUGAUUCUUA